AGAGUAGUGGACAGAAGGGAUUUCUGAAAA
rnacentral:piRNA from 3 species